CGCGUAGGCGGCCCGGUAAGUCAAAGGUGAAAUCCCUCGGCUCAACUGAGGAACUGCCUUUGAAACUGUCGGGCUUGAGGCCGGGAGGGGGUAGCGGAAUUCCCAGUGUAGCGGUGAAAUGCGUAGAUAUUGGGAGGAACACCGGUGGCGAAGGCGGCUACCUGGACCGGUUCUGACGCUGAUGCGCGAAAGCGUGGGUAGCAAACA
rnacentral:rRNA from 1 species